GGCCGCCUGGCGAAAUGGCAUCGCGUCUGACUACGACUGGCCAGUUCUAAUCAGGAGAUUGCAGGUUCGACCCCUGCGGUGGUCA